GUUUGAUCAUGGCUCAGGAUGAACGCUAGCGGCAGGCUUAAUACAUGCAAGUCAAGGGGCAGCAUGGUGUAGCAAUACACUGAUGGCGACCGGCAAACGGGUGCGGAACACGUACAGAACCUUCCUUCGAGCGGGGAAUAGCCCAGAGAAAUUUGGAUUAAUACCCCAUAGUAUAUUAGAGUGGCAUCACUUUGAUAUUAAAGAUUUAUCACUUGAAGAUGGCUGUGCGGCUGAUUAGGUAGUUGGCGGGGUAACGGCCCACCAAGCCUGCGAUCAGUAACUGGUGUGAGAGCACGACCAGUCACACGGGCACUGAGACACGGGCCCGACUCCUACGGGAGGCAGCAGUAAGGAAUAUUGGUCAAUGGACGAAAGUCUGAACCAGCCAUGCCGCGUGGAGGAUGAAGGUCCUCUGGAUUGUAAACUUCUUUUAUAUGGGACGAAAAAAGGCUUUUCUAAGUCGUCUGACGGUACCAUAUGAAUAAGCACCGGCUAACUCCGUGCCAGCAGCCGCGGUAAUACGGAGGGUGCAAGCGUUAUCCGGAUUCACUGGGUUUAAAGGGUGCGUAGGUGGGUUGGUAAGUCAGUGGUGAAAUCCCCGAGCUUAACUUGGGAACUGCCAUUGAUACUAUCAGUCUUGAAUACCGUGGAGGUCAGCGGAAUAUGUCAUGUAGCGGUGAAAUGCUUAGAUAUGACAUAGAACACCAAUUGCGAAGGCAGCUGGCUACUCGAAUAUUGACACUGAGGCACGAAAGCGUGGGGAUCAAACAGGAUUAGAUACCCUGGUAGUCCACGCCCUAAACUAUGGAUACUCGACAUUUGCGAUAAACUGUAAGUGUCUGAGCGAAAGCAUUAAGUAUCCCACCUGGGAAGUACGAUC
rnacentral:rRNA from 1 species